rnacentral:rRNA from 1 species
AUACGUAGGGGGCGAGCGUUGUCCGGAAUGAUUGGGCGUAAAGGGCGCGUAGGCGGCCCGGUAAGUCUGGAGUGAAAGUCCUGUUUUUAAGAUGGGAAUUGCUUUGGAUACUGUCGGGCUUGAGUGCAGGAGAGGUAAGUGGAAUUCCCAGUGUAGCGGUGAAAUGCGUAGAGAUUGGGAGGAACACCAGUGGCGAAGGCGACUUACUGGACUGUAACUGACGCUGAGGCGCGAAAGUGUGGGGAGCAAACAGGAUUAGAUACCCUCGUAGUCCACACUGUAAACGAUGAAUGCUAGGUGUAGGGGGUAUCGACCCCUUCUGUGCCGCAGUCAACACAAUAAGCAUUCCGCCUGGGGAGUACGGCCGCAAGGUUGAAACUUAAAGGAAUUGACGGGG